rnacentral:piRNA from 1 species
UGAGAUUCUGUGCUCACUGAGCUCCUACCC